rnacentral:rRNA from 1 species
CACGUAGGGCGCAAGCGUUGUCCGGAAUUAUUGGGCGUAAAGGGCUCGUAGGCGGUCUGUUGCGUCAGGAGUGAAAACUCGGGGCUUAACCCCGAGCCUGCUUCUGAUACGGGCAGACUAGAGGUAUGCAGGGGGAGAACGGAAUUCCUGGUGUAGCGGUGAAAUGCGCAGAUAUCAGGAGGAACACCGGUGGCGAAGGCGGUUCUCUGGGCAUUACCUGACGCUGGAGGAGCGAAAGGUGUGGGGAGCGAACAGG